rnacentral:rRNA from 1 species
AUACGGAAGGUGCGAGCGUUAAUCGGAAUUACUGGGCGUAAAGCGUACGUAGGCGGUUGGUUAAGUUAGAUGUGAAAGCCCCGGGCUUAACCUGGGAACUGCAUUUAAAACUGGCGAACUAGAGUUGAGUAGAGGGGAGUGGAAUUUCAGGUGUAGCGGUGAAAUGCGUAGAGGUCUGAAGGAACACCAGUGGCGAAGGCGACUCCCUGGACUCGAACUGACGCUGAGGUACGAAAGCGUGGGUAGCAAACGGGAUUAGAUACCCUUGUAGUCC